rnacentral:rRNA from 1 species
AGAGUUUGAUCAUGGCUCAGAACGUACGCUGGCGGCACGCCUAAUACAUGCAAGUCGAACGAAGUAGCAAUACUUAGUGGCAGACGGGUGAGUAACAUGUAGGUAUCUUCCCAUUGGUGAGGAAUAACACGAGGAAACUUGUGCUAAUACCUCAUAAGUCUUUACGGAGAAAGCUUUAUGCGCCGAUGGAUGAGCCUGCACUUGAUUAGUUUGUUGGUAGGGUAAUGGCCUACCAAGACAAUGAUCAAUAGCUGAUUUGAGAGGAUGAUCAGCCACAUUGGGACUGAGACACGGCCCAAACUCCUACGGGAGGCAGCAGUAGGGAAUCUUGCACAAUGGGGGAAACCCUGAUGCAGCGAUGCCGCGUGAGUGAAGAAGGCCUUUGGGUUGUAAAGCUCUUUCGUCGGGGAAGAAAAUGACUGUACCCGAAUAAGAAGGUCCGGCUAACUUCGUGCCAGCAGCCGCGGUAAUACGAAGGGACCUAGCGUAGUUCGGAAUUACUGGGCUUAAAGAGUUCGUAGGUGGUUAAAAAAGUUGGUGGUGAAAUCCCAGAGCUUAACUCUGGAACUGCCAUCAAAACUUUUUAGCUAGAGUAUGAUAGAGGAAAGCAGAAUUUCUAGUGUAGAGGUGAAAUUCGUAGAUAUUAGAAAGAAUACCAAUUGCGAAGGCAGCUUUCUGGAUCAUUACUGACACUGAGGAACGAAAGCAUGGGUAGCGAAGAGGAUUAGAUACCCUCGUAGUCCAUGCCGUAAACGAUGUGUGUUAGACGUUGGAAAUUUAUUUUCUGUGUCGCAGCGAAAGCAAUAAACACACCGCCUGGGGAGUACGACCGCAAGGUUAAAACUCAAAUGAAUUGACGGGGACCCGCACAAGUAGUGGAGCAUGUGGUUUAAUUCGAAGAUACGCGCAGAACCUUACCAACACUUGACAUGUUCGUCGCGACUUUAAGAGAUUAAAGUUUUCGGUUCGGCCGGACGAAACACAGGUGCUGCAUGGCUGUCGUCAGCUCGUGUCGUGAGAUGUUGGGUUAAGUCCCGCAACGAGCGCAACCCUCACUUUUAGUUGCCAUCAUUAAGUUGGGCACUCUGAAAGAACUGCCAGUGAUAAGCUGGAGGAAGGUGGGGAUGACGUCAAGUCCUCAUGGCCCUUACGUGUUGGGCUACACACGUGCUACAAUGGCAUUUACAAUAGGAAGCAAGACGGCGACGUUUAGCAAAUCCUAAAAAAGUGCCUCAGUUCGGAUUGUACUCUGCAACUCGAGUACAUGAAGCUGGAAUUACUAGUAAUCGCGGAUCAGCGCGCCGCGGUGAAUACGUUCCCGGGUCUUGUACACACCGCCCGUCACACCAUGGGAGUUGGUUCUACCUUAAGGCAAAGUUUAAAACCUUUGACCACGGUAUAGUCAGCGACUGGGGUGAAGUCAUAACAAGGUAACCGUA